GCCCGAUUAGCUCAGUCGGUAGAGCGUUUGACUCUUAAAAUAUUCAUAAGGACAAUCAAAAUGUCGCGGGUCCAAGCCCCGCAUCAAGUG
rnacentral:tRNA from 1 species